GGCAGCAGUGGGGAAUUUUGGACAAUGGGGGCAAGCCUGAUCCAGCCAUGCCGCGUGAGUGAAGAAGGCCUUCGGGUUGUAAAGCUCUUUCAGGUGGAAAGAAAAMGCAUGGGUCAAUACCCUGUGUGGAUGACGGUACCAUCAGAAGAAGCACCGGCUAAMUACGUGCCAGCAGCCGCGGUAAUACGUAGGGUGCGAGCGUUAAUCGGAAUUACUGGGCGUAAAGCGUGCGCAGGCGGUGAUGUAAGACAGAUGUGAAAUCYCCGGGCUCAACCUGGGAACUGCGUUUGUGACUGCAUCACUCGAGUACGGCAGAGGGAGGUGGAAUUCCGCGUGUAGCAGUGAAAUGCGUAGAUAUGCGGAGGAACACCGAUGGCGAAGGCAGCCUCCUGGGCCAGUACUGACGCUCAUGCACGAAAGCGUGGGGAGCAAACAGGAUUAGAUACCCUGGUAGUCCACGCCCUAAACGAUGUCAACUAGUUGUUCGGUGAGGAGACUCAUUGAGUAACGCAGCUAACGCGUGAAGUGACCGCAUG
rnacentral:rRNA from 1 species